rnacentral:rRNA from 1 species
GUAGUAAAUUUAGCCUAAACAAAACAUUCUUAAAUUAAAGAUAAUAAAACAUUCUUACCAUUCUAGUACAGGAGAUGAAAAAAAUUUUAAGCGCAAUAGAAAUAGUACUGCAAAGGAAAAAUGAAAUAGAAAUUAAAUAAAUUAUUAAAACAAUAAAAAGCAAAGAUUAAACCUUCUACCUUUUGCAUUAUGGUCUAGUAAGUUUAACCUAACAAAUAGAAAUUUAGUCAGAUUUCCCGAAACUAGACGAGCUACUUCGAAGCAGCACAAUAAGAGCAAACCCUUCUCUGUGGCAAAAGAGUGGGAUGACUUCCUAGUAGCGGUGAAAUACCUAACGAGUCUAG